rnacentral:rRNA from 1 species
CCCAGACUCCUACGGGAGGCAGCAGUGGGGGAUAUUGCACAAUGGGGGGAACCCUGAUGCAGCGACGCCGCGUGGGUGAAGGAGCGUUUCGGCGCGUAAAGCCCUAUCGGCAGGGAAGGAGGAGGACGGUACCUGACUAAGAAGCCCCGGCUAACUACGUGCCAGCAGCCGCGGUAAUACGUAGGGGGCAAGCGUUAUCCGGAUUUACUGGGUGUAAAGGGGGCGCAGACGGCAGCGCAAGCCAGGAGUGAAAGCCCGGGGCCCAACCCCGGGACUGCUCUUGGAACUGCGCGGCUGGAGUGCAGGAGGGGCAGGCGGAAUUCCUGGUGUAGCGGUGAAAUGCGUAGAUAUCAGGAGGAACACCGGUGGCGAAGGCGGCCUGCUGGACUGCGACUGACGUUGAGGCCCGAAAGCGUGGGGAGCAAACAGGAUUAGAUACCCUAGUAC